AUGCUGAACACUGAAGUGAUCCAGACCACUAGGGGGAGUCGAACAAAGAACAGCUGUGUCCGAAGUCAGGUUUUGCAUCCUUGGGUCCUCGACGACCAGAAGAGAGAAGCUGUAGCUUUCAGCUAGCUGCUUAGCCUCUACCGUGGCGUUAUGUUGCUUAGCAACCGUGACAACGUGAAUCACACAGCGGCGAAGGAGAAAAAAAACGGACUCGAAGUAUGUUUUUUUUUCUCCUGAUUUCUCUAUUACUCUCCACCUUUUGUAAUAAAGGCUGUUGCAUAUUUAAAAAAUCUUAGUCUGAUUCUAAAAUGUUCAAACAUGUAUAGCACAUUUACACAAGGAAUGUAGGCAAAGUAUCCCUUUUCAAAUACUCUCCAAAUUUCAGGUAAGACGAUACAGUUUAAUCAAACUAUUGUGUUUUUAGGCAUAACUUUAAUCAGUCAAACCGAUUUGCUCAGGAAUAAAUGAAAUAUUUGAGUGAACCAAAAUAUUACAACUAGAUGUUACCUAACUUAAUAUCUGUGUUUAACUAACUGCCAUUUGGGAAAGCCCAAAUGAGUCAGGUGUUCUCCAGUGGUAUACUAAACCUGGACCAGCAGGCGAGGGGAGCUGGGUGUUAAUGCAGCGGCAGCAGACAUCUCCGAAAACGUCGGACCAAUAUUGCAAUUAGGUGAUGCACUGAUGAACCGAGCAGAAAUGUGAGAUUUAUACAUCUACAUUCUCGCCUACAAACAUUGUUUAAAUCAUGUUGUGUCACGGCUGCUAAGCAACAUAACGCCGAGGUGGAGGCUAGGCAGCUAGCUGAAGGCUACAGCUUCUCUGCAAUGCUCUCUGCCUUUGCAGGACCCCUCUUCCGUAGACCGGGUCGUUUCUCAAGCCCAUGACAGAAUAAGCUUGAAAGGAUGCAGACCCUGAACUCGAACACAAAGCUCUAGUGGUCUGGAACACUUAUUUUUAUACGUUUUUUUGCAUCUCUUUUUUUGUUUGCAUCUUUUCUUUGUUUUUCUCGUGUUUGCUGCGCGUUUGCACCUGUCGACCACCGUAGUAUUUUAACGAUUCUGUAUUUUAGUUCUGCUGGGGUCCAUAUGGUUAUGUGUAUUUGUUAUAAGUUGCAUUGUGAUCACUGUUAUGUGUAGAGUGUUAUGGGGUUCUCUGUCUGACUCUGCUGACUUCCACUCGCAUGUGAUGGACCUGUCAUGUGGGCAGGGGAACAGGGGAGCUGGAGGACCAGAACCGAUGCUGAUCUGACAGAACACCGGAAGAGCGGAGAGUUCAGUGUGUUAGCAGUAAAGCUAUUCAGUUGAGUGUAACGAUUUGUUAGAGGCGCGAGCUGCUGCCUAAGGAACAGCAGCUCGCUCUUUUUUCUAAUAAACCCUGUUGGCGGUA